AUUCAACCUACAAGGACUUCUU
rnacentral:piRNA from 1 species